CCCGUCUCACAUCACAAAAAACUAUCGCUCAUCACUAACAAACAAAACAAACAAAAUGUAAACAACGUAAAUAAUUAUAAUUGACGGGAAAAAUAUGGUGUUUUGGUGGCUAUUGGCCAAGCACGCCCACCCAACCAAGGAUGCCCUGGAGGAUUCUACGGAGGCAUCACCCAUGAUCAGUUGGUCGGAGUCGCUCCUCGCGACUAAGACAGCUCCAUCUCCCCCACAGCUACAACUCACUCACACAUUUCGGUUUCUAUAUACAUUUAAUUAUCCACACCUUUACGACCAAACUUGGCCACCGUCUACAUAUUUACGCGGUCAAAGCAGAAGAUUACCUUCCUUUGGCAAAGGCUACAGGCGCCGCGUAAAUAAUGUUCCACCAGACACGUAUUGGUGGAACUCACAGUGGAACGAGGCGCAAAAAAGGGCACACACUAGGUAUGUGUCGGGUCACCUAAUCCUGAGGAGCUCCUAGGGAAAAGAAGGGGCAGGCCAAACGGCAACAACGAGGACAAAUUGAGGGGUCUAAGUCCGGAUAAAUUUACAGGUCAACAGCCACUUCUGGGCUAGGCGCCGGGUUAAAUAUGCCCCAACUGCAGCUGCAGUACUCUGCCGGAGGUCAGCAGCAACAAGGGCCUGGAACACCCCGAGGAACGGUGGUUAAGGAAGGGACAGAUGGCUGUGCCUCUCGACGCGGCGCGAAUUGGCAGCCGGAUAACCCCAAGGCGACUUAACAGCUCGGAAUGGACUCACCGGCGUUUGUUAUAAAAGCGUUGGCGGCGUCCGAGGAAGGCUAGUUAUGCUGGUCUGCUUCGUAUCGCUGGGUCGAACGAAGCCGAUUCCAACUUGAAAUGCAACACCACCCAAGGAUUUAGAGAGACGCUUUCGAACCAUGGCCACUCGACGAAAUCAUUGGGAGCAUUGGAGAUCGGUGUCUGGCGAAAUCC